rnacentral:tRNA from 1 species
GGAAUGUGGCUUAGUGGUAAAGUACUUGCCUAGCAGGCAUGAAGCCUUGGGUUCGAUUCCUCAAUACCA